GGAGAGGGCGCCUGCCUCUGGCCGUUUCCGCUCUGACUCCCUCCUCCAGGUCAGGAACUCGGUUCCCAGAGUCAGCUGAGCAGGAGUUACGCAGUUUUCCAUCUCUUUCUCUCCACUGCUCCUUAGCCUGAGGAAGCAAGUAGCUUCGUCAGCUGGAGCCUGAUCCGAAGAACAUCACUGGUUCCACUCAGCAGCUCAAGAGACGUUCUCAAAGUGUGGUCCCUGGACCGGCAGGAUCAGCAUCACCUGGAACUUGUUAAAAUGCAAGUUCUCAAGCCUCAGCCCCGACCUCCUGAAUAAAAACUCCGGUGUGGCCCAGCA